rnacentral:rRNA from 1 species
UACGUAGGGGGCUAGCGUUGUCCGGAAUCAUUGGGCGUAAAGAGCGUGUAGGCGGCCCGGUAAGUCCGCUUGAUAAAGUCAAAGGCUCAACCUUUGAAUGUCAGUGGAUACUGCCGGGCUAGAGUCCGGAAGAGGCGAGUGGAACUCCUGGUGUAGCGGUGGAAUGCGCAGAUAUCAGGAAGAACACCAACGGCGAAGGCAGCUCGCUGGGACGGUACUGACGCUGAGACGCGAAAGCGUGGGGAGCGAACAGG